rnacentral:rRNA from 1 species
AGACAUUCCGAGUUUCAACUCCCAAACCCCUGUGUACAUACCACUUGAUUGCCUCGGCGGAUCAGCCCGCUCCCGGUAAAACGGGACGGCCCGCCAGAGGACCCCUAAACUCUGUUUCUAUAUGUAACUUCUGAGUAAAACCAUAAAUAAAUCAAAACUUUCAACAACGGAUCUCUUGGUUCUGGCAUCGAUGAAGAACGCAGCAAAAUGCGAUAAGUAAUGUGAAUUGCAGAAUUCAGUGAAUCAUCGAAUCUUUGAACGCACAUUGCGCCCGCCAGUAUUCUGGCGGGCAUGCCUGUUCGAGCGUCAUUUCAACCCUCAAGCACAGCUUGGUGUUGGGACUCGCGUUAAUUCGCGUUCCCCAAAUUGAUUGGCGGUCACGUCGAGCUUCCAUAGCGUAGUAGUAAAACCCUCGUUACUGGUAAUCGUCGCGGCCACGCCGUUAAACCCCAACUUCUGAAUGUUGACCUCGGAUCAGGUAGGAAUACCCGCUGAACUUAAGCAU